rfam:Schistosoma mansoni strain Puerto Rico chromosome 2, complete genome
AUCCAGCUGAUGAGUCCCAAAUAGGACGAAACGCGUGUCCUGGAU